rnacentral:rRNA from 1 species
GUCCACACAGUAAACGAUGAAUACUCGCAGUUGGCGAUAUACGGUCAGCUGCCAAGUGAAAACAAUAAGUAUUCCACCUGGGGAGUACGCCGGCAACGGUGAAACUCAAAGGAAUUGACGGGGGCCCGCACAAGCGGAGGAACAUGUGGUUUAAUUCGAUGAUACGCGAGGAACCUUACCCGGGCUUGAACUCAUCAGGGCGACGCAAGAGAUUGCGUUUUCCUUCGGGACUUGAUGAGAGGUGCUGCAUGGUUGUCGU